rnacentral:rRNA from 1 species
CCUACGGGAGGCAGCAGUGGGGAAUAUUGGACAAUGGGCGAAAGCCUGAUCCAGCAAUGCCGCGUGAGUGAUGAAGGCCUUAGGGUUGUAAAGCUCUUUUACCCGAGAUGAUAAUGACAGUAUCGGGAGAAUAAGCUCCGGCUAACUCCGUGCCAGCAGCCGCGGUAAUACGGAGGGAGCUAGCGUUGUUCGGAAUUACUGGGCGUAAAGCGCACGUAGGCGGCUUUUUAAGUCAGGGGUGAAAUCCCGGGGCUCAACCCCGGAACUGCCCUUGAAACUGGGAAGCUAGAAUCUUGGAGAGGCGAGUGGAAUUCCGAGUGUAGAGGUGAAAUUCGUAGAUAUUCGGAAGAACACCAGUGGCGAAGGCGACUCGCUGGACAAGUAUUGACGCUGAGGUGCGAAGGCGUGGGGAGCAAACAGGAUUAGAUACCCUGGUAGUCCACGCCGUAAACGAUGAUAACUAGCUGUCCGGGUUCAUGGAACUUGGGUGGCGCAGCUAACGCAUUAAGUUAUCCGCCUGGGGAGUACGGUCGCAAGAUUAAAACCUAGAAGUAGUAGCGUGNGAGAGCGACGACGACGACGACGGAGGAGG